AAGGUGUGAUGUAUUCUUAUCCUCAAAAGGGAUCGGAGCGUCUGGUGUAGCACAUCUUCAGUAGAGAAGACUUUUCAGAUAAUAAUUACUUAUACUUAUUGAAUUUUAAAAGGUUAAAAGAUUUAAUAGAAAUUACAAGUGUGAUAUUAUAUUCUACAGCGAAAGUCUACACCUCUGCAUAACGAAAGCAGCCUAAUACCAUAGUAUAUUUUAUGCAAUAUGGUCAUUGAUGAGUCUCGCAAGACUCUGAUAUGUUUGUCCGAUUCUGCACAGUGUUCUUAGCGGAACUUUGUGGCGCGGCAGCGUCAAUGGAAUGAUGACAACAGAGUAGUUAUGCGGCUAAAGAGAAGUGCCACUCUUAAACAAGGCGGUUGUUGAAGCUUACUAUAUGUGCGCGAAGCGGCGUAUAGUGGAUAAGAAAAGAAACCAUAAUGUUUCGAAAGAGCUUCUAUAUUUAUGUGUAAUCUCAGC
rnacentral:sRNA from 1 species